GUGUCAGCAGCCGUGGUAAUACGUAAGGUGCGAGCGUUAAUCGGAAUUACUGGGCGUAAAGCGUGCGCAGGCGGUUGUGUAAGACAGGUGUGAAAUCCCCGGGCCUAACCUGGGAACUGCACUUGUGACUGCACGGCUUGAGUGCGGCAGAGAGGGAUGGAAUUCCGCGUGUAGCAGUGAAUGCGUAGAUAUGCGGAGGAACACCGAUGGCGAAGGCAAUCCCCUGGGCCUGCACUGACGCUCAUGCACGAAAGCGUGGGGAGCAAACAGGAUUAGAUACCCCAGUAGUCC
rnacentral:rRNA from 1 species